UAACCUAUGGCGUCCAAACAGACAGUAUUAGAAGAAUCCAUGGGAAUAACCUAUGAUGUCCAAACAGACAGUCAGUAUUAGAAGAGUCCAUGGGAAUAACCUAUGAUGUCCAAACAGACAGUCAGUAUUAGAAGAGUCCAUGGGAAUAACCUAUGGCAUCCAAACAGACAGUAUUAGAAGAAUCCACGGGAAUAACCUAGACAGUCAGUAUUAGAAGAGUUCACAGGAAUAACCUAUGAUGUCCAAGAGUCCACAAGAAUAACCUAUGAUGUCCAAACAGACAGUCAGUAUUAGAAGAUUCCACGGGAAUAACCUAUGGCGUCCAAACAGACAGUAUUAGAAGAGUCCACAAGAAUAACCUAUGGUAUCCAAACAGACAGUCAGUAUUAGAAUAGUCCACGGGAAUAACCUAUGAUGUCCAAACAGACAGUCAGUAUUAGAAGAAUCCACGGGAAUAACCUACAGUGUCCAAACAGACAGACAGUAUUAGAAGAGUCUACAGGAUAACCUAUGAUGUCCAAACAGACAGUCAGUAUUAGAAGAGUCCAUGGGAAUAACCUAUGGUGUCCAAACAGACGGUAUUAGAAGAGUCCACAGGAAUAACCUAUAAUGUCCAAACAGACAGUCAGUAUUAGAAGAGUCCACAGGAAUAACCUAUGAUGUCCAAACAGAAAGUCAAUAUUAGAAGAGUCCACAGGAAUAACCUACAGUGUCCAAACAGAGAGACAGUAUUAGAAGAGUCCACAGGAAUAACCUACAGUGUUCAAACAGACAGACAGUAUUAGAAGUCUACAGGAUAACCUUUGAUGUCCAAACAGACAGUCAGUAUUAGAAGAGUCCAUGGGAAUAACCUGUGGUGUCCAAACAGACAGUAUUAGAAGAAUCCACGGGAAUAACCUAGACAGUCAGUAUUAGAAGAGUUCACAGGAAUAACCUAUGAUGUCCAAGAGUCCACAAGAAUAACCUAUGAUGUCCAAACAGACAGUCAGUAUUAGAAGAUUCCACGGGAAUAACCUAUGGCGUCCAAACAGACAGUAUUAGAAGAGUCCACAAGAAUAACCUAUGGUAUCCAAACAGACAGUCAGUAUUAGAAUAGUCCACGGGAAUAACCUAUGAUGUCCAAACAGACGAUCAGAAUUAGAAAGGUCCACGGGAAUAACCUAUGGUGUCCAAACAGACCGUCAGUAUUAGAAGAGUCCACAGGAAUAACCUACAGUGUCCAAACAGACAGACAGUAUUAGAAGAGUCCACGGGAAUAACCUAUGAUGUCCAAACAGACAAUCAGUAUUAGAAGAGUCCACAGGAAUAACCUAUGAUGUCCAAACAGAAAGUCAAUAUUAGAAGAGUCCAUAGGAAUAACCUACAGUGUCCAAACAGAGAGACAGUAUUAGAAGAGUCCACGGGAAUAACCUACAGUGUCCAAACAGACAGACAGUAUUAGAAGUCUACAGGAUAACCUUUGAUGUCCAAACAGACAGUCAGUAUUAGAAGAGUCCAUGGGAAUAACCUAUGGUGUCCAAACAGACAGGUUAUUCCCAUGGACUCUUCUAAUACUGUCUGUUUGGACACCAUAGGUUAUUCCCAUGGACUCUUCUAAUACUAUGGUAUCCAAACAGAUAGUAUUGGAAGAGUCCAUGGGAAUAACCUAUGGUAUCCAAACAGACAGUCAGUAUUAGAAGAGUCCACGGGAAUAACCUAUGGCGUCCAAACAGCCAGUAUUAGAAGAGUCCACAAGAAUAACCUAUGGUAUCCAAACAGACAGUCCGUAUUAGAAGAGUCCACAAGAAUAACCUAUGGUGUCCAAACAGACAGUCAGUAUUAGAAGAGUCCACGGGAAUAAUCUAUAGCGUCCAAACAGACAGUCAGUAUUAUAAGAGUUCAUGGGAAUAACCUAUGAUGUCCAAACAGACAGUCAAUAUUAGAAGAGUCCACGGGAAUAACCUAUGAUGUCCAAACAGACGGUCAGUAUUAGAAGAGUCCACGGGAAUAACCUAUGAUGUCCAAACAGACGGUCAGUAUUAGAAGAGUCCACGGGAAUAACCUAUGGUGUCCAAACAGACGGUCAGUAUUAGAAGAGUCCACGGGAAUAACCUAUGGUGUCCAAACAGACGGUCAGUAUUAGAAGAGUCCACGGGAAUAACCUAUGGUGUCCAAACAGACAGUCAGUAUUAGAAGAGUCCACGGGAAUAAUCUAUGGCGUCCAAACAGAAAGUCAGUAUUAGAAGAGUCCACGGGAAUAAUCUAUGGCGUCCAAACAGACAGUCAGUAUUAUAAGAGUCCACGGGAAUAACCUACGGUGUCCAGACAGUCAGUAUUAUAACGGCUGUGUAUGUCCAGAUCACAAAGACUCCCUAAAUAAAAAAUCUAUAAUUAUGGUAGGCCAUUAAAAGUAGUUGGUAAAUUAUACUUUCUUAGGCAUAAAUAUUCCAGGAUUGCAGAGUUGUAAACGUUAAAAAAAAUAUAUACAUCGACAUACUAAAGAUGUGAUAUCACAGGUGUAAACGUUAAAACAAAGAAUAUGAACAUACUAAAGAUGUGACAUCACAGGUGUAAACGUUAAAACAAAGAAUAUGAACAUACUAAAGAUGUGACAUCACAGGUGUAAACGUUAAAACAAAGAUGUAACAUCACAGGUGUAAACGUUAAAACAAAGAAUAUCAACAUACUAAAGAUGUGACAUCACAGGUGUAAACAUUAAAACAAAGAAUAUCGACAUACUAAAGAUGUGACAUCACAGGUGUAAACGUUAAAACAAAGAAUAUCGACAUACUAAAGAUGUGACAUCACAGGUGUAAACGUUGAAAUAAAGAAUAUCGACAUACUAAAGAUGUGACAUCACAGGUGUAAACGUUAAAACAAAGAAUAUCGACAUACUAAAGAUGUGACAUCACAGGUGUAAACAUUGAAAUAAAGAUGUAACAUCACAGUGUAAACGUUAAAACAAAGAUGUAACAUCACAGUGUAAACGUUAAAACAAAGAAUAUCAACAUACUAAAGAUGUGACAUCACAGGUGUAAAUGUUAAAACAAAGAAUAUCGACAUACUAAAGAUGUGACAUCACAGGUGUAAACAUUAAAACAAAGAAUAUCAACAUACUAAAGAUGUGACAUCACAGGUGUAAACGUUAAAACGAAUAUCAACAUACUAAAGAUGUGACAUCACAGGUGUAAACGUUAAAACAAAGAAUAUCAACAUACUAAAGAUGUGACAUCACAGGUGUAAACAUUAAAACAAAGAAUAUCAACAUACUAAAGAUGUGAUAUCACAGGUGUAAACGUUAAAACAAAGAAUAUGAACAUACUAAAGAUGUGACAUCACAGGUGUAAACGUUAAAACAAAGAUGUAACAUCACAGUGUAAACGUUAAAACAAAGAAUAUCAACAUACUAAAGAUGUGACAUCACAGGUGUAAACAUUAAAACAAAGAAUAUCGACAUACUAAAGAUGUGACAUCACAGGUGUAAACGUUAAAACAAAGAAUAUCAACAUACUACAGAUGCGACAUCACAGGUGUAAACAUUAAAACAAAGAAUAUCAACAUACUACAGAUGCGACAUCACAGGUGUAAACAUUAAAACAAAGAAUAUCGACAUACUACAGAUGCGACAUCACAAGUGUAAACAUUAAGAAUAUCCACACACUAAAGAUGCGACAUCACUGGUGGAAACGUUAAAGAAUAUCCACACACUAAAGAUGAGACAUCACUGGUGGAAACGUUAAAAAAUAUCCACACACUAAAGAUGUGACAUCACUGGUGGAAUCGUUAAAGAAUAUCCACACACUAAAGAUGUGACAUCACUGGUGGAAUCGUUAAAGAAUAUCCACACACUAAAGAUGUGACAUCACAGGUGGAAACGUUAAAGAAUAUCCACACACUAAAGAUGUGACAUAACUGGUGGAAACGUUAAAGAAUAUCCACACACUAAAGAUGUGACAUCACUGGUGGAAACGUUAAAGAAUAUCCACACACUAAAGAUGUGACAUCACUGGUGGAAUCGUUAAAGAAUAUCCACACACUAAAGAUGUGACAUCACUGGUGGAAUCGUUAAAGAAUAUCCACACACUAAAGAUGUGACAUCACAGGUGGAAACGUUAAAGAAUAUCCACACACUAAAGAUGUGACAUCACAGGUGGAAACGUUAAAGAAUAUCCACACACUAAAGAUGUGACAUCACAGGUGGAAACGUUAAAGAAUAUCCACACACUAAAGAUGUAACAUCACAAGUGUAAACAUUAAGAAUAUCCACACACUAAAGAUGUGACAUCACAGGUGUAAACAUUAAGAAUAUCCACACACUAAAGAUGUGACAUCACAAGUGUAAACUAAAGAUGUAACAUCACAAGUGUAAACAUUAAGAAUAUCCACACACUAAAGAUGUGACAUCACAGGUUAUUCCUCUGGACCCUUCCAAUACAUGUUGGUGAAUGAUCAAGACAUGUGACAAUUCAGAUCACUUUGUACGAUCACAGACAAAACCAUUUACUCACCUGGGAACAGAAAUGUUGAGCCGAGGAAUAUGAUCAUCAUAUAGAUUUGACAGGACACUGUAUUGUCUUCCGGUGCACUGUAAGCAGUGAAUGGGUUAAAUCUGUUCCAGAACUCAUCAAACAGGAGGUGGGAGGGUUGGGGUUAAUAACUUCAUCAAACAGGAGGUGGGAGGGUUGGGGUUAAUAACUUCAUCAAACAGGAGGUGGGAGGGUUGGGGUUAAUAACUUUGUGACUAUAUCGAGUCUGAACUCGUCACACAGGUGGGAGGGUUGGGGUUAAUAACUUCAUCACACAGGAGGCGGGAGGGUUGGGGUUAAUAACUUCAUCAAACAGGAGGUGGGAGGGUUGGGGUUAACAACUUCAUCAAACAGGAGGUGGGAGGGUUGGGGUUAAUAACUUCAUCAAACAGGAGGUGGGAGGGUUGGGGUUAAUAACUUUGUGACUAUACCGAGUCUGAACUCGUCAAACAGGAGGUGGGAGGGUUGGGGUUAAUAACUUCAUCAAACAGGAGGUGGGAGGGUUGGGGUUAAUAACGUCAUGACUAUACUGAGUCUGAACUCGUCAAACAGGAGGUGGGAGGGUUGGGGUUAAUAACGUCAUGACUAUACCGAGUCUGAACUCGUCAAACAGGAGGUGGGAGGGUUGGGGUUAAUAACUUCAUCAAACAGGAGGUGGGAGGGUUGGGGUUAAUAACAUCAUGACUAUACCGAGUCUGAACUCGUCAAACAGGUGGGAGGGUUGGGGUCAAUAACGUCAUGACUAUACCGAGUCUGAACUCGUCAAACAGGAGGUGGGAGGUUUGGGGUUAAUAACUUCAUCAAACAGGAGGUGGGAGGGUUGAGGUUAAUAACGUCAUGACUAUACUGAGUCUGCUGUAAGUCGGCCAGCACCAGCUAUUUUUCACCAAUACAGGAGACAGGAAAGCAAAAUCAACCAAUUAACUCUUCGACUACUUAUUUUUAAAUUAUAUUUUAUUAUUGCACUUAUUUCAAUCCUUUACUUAUGUAACAGUACAUUGUAUUUAGUGCAGCCAGGUGACAACAAAACAAAAAAAAGCCCUCCCCUCAAUUCUUUGUAAAGUUUGCAGACCAAAUUUGAAAAGAUUAUAUUACUAUUUUUAUUUAUUA